UAAAAAUUUUCUAAAAAUUUAGUUUUCUCGAAUUUAGAAGAGCUAUUGGUUUAUAAAUUUUACUGUUGAAUAAUUAUUUAAAAUAAGCUGAUAGAAAUGAAACGUUAUUCGUUUCUAAAUAUAUCUAGUUUUUAAAGAAAAAAAUUUAAUUUUGUUUGUUUAAGGGAUUUCCUAAAUUUUUAGGAUUUUUUUGUUGCAAGGUAAUAUCUUAGGGGAUGAGCUCUAUAGAUAAAUUUUUAUAAUUUAAUUUAAAUAGCAAAAUAUAUAGGAUUAGAAGUUUUCAUUAUUAGAACAGUGUUAUAACUGAUUUUGUUUAUAAUAAUUAUUUAUAUUAAAUUUAAAUUUUUUAUUUAAAUAUAAUUUUUAAUUAAAAAAAUUAAGUAAUAAUGAUAAAAUUAGUAUAAUUAUAUUUUUGAUAAAGUUUUACUGUUUAAGAUAAGGUUAAGGAAUUCGGCAAAUAGAUUUUUUCACCUGUUUAUUAAAAACAUGGCCUUUUGAUUUUUAUUUAAGGUCUGGCCUGCCCACUGAUAAUUUAAAGGGCCGCGGUAUUUU
rnacentral:rRNA from 1 species